rnacentral:rRNA from 1 species
GGGUUAGUAGGUUGGUCAUGCCUCUGGUCCGCACUGGUCUCACUGAUUCCUCCUUCCUGAUGAGCCGUAAUGCCAUUAAUUUGGUCUUGCGGGGAAUUUGGACUGUUACUUUGAAAAAAUUAGAGUGUUUAAAGCAAGCUAACGCUUGAAUACAUUAGCAUGGAAUCAUGAAAUAGGACGUUCGAUCCUAUUUUGUUGGCUUCUAGGAUUAACGUA